ACUGAAAUUCUAAACGAAGUCCCUUCCGGGGUGGAGUUUGUUUGACGGCUAGCGGCGGGAUAGGGGUGAGUAACGACGUAGGGCGAAUCUGCCCUAAAGACUGGGAUACCACUGGAAACAGGUAGCUAAUACCGGAUAACAACAUGAAUCGCAUGAUUCAAGUUUGUAAAGGACGGCGUAAGCUGUCACUUUAGGAUGAGCCGCGGCGCAUUAGCUAGUUGUGGGGUAGAGGCCUACCAAGGCGAUGAUGCGUAGCCGAGUUGAGAGACUGAUCGGCCACAUUGGGACUGAGACACGGCCCAAACUCCUACGGGAGGCAGCAGUAGGGAAUCUUCCACAAUGGACGCGAGUCUGAUGGAGCAACGCCGCGUGAGUGAAGAAGGUUUUCGGAUCGUAAAGCUCUGUUGUUGGUGAAGAAGGAUAGAGGCAGUAACUGGUCUUUAUUUGACGGUAAUCAACCAGAAAGUCACGGCUAACUACGUG
rnacentral:rRNA from 1 species